rnacentral:rRNA from 1 species
UACGUAGGGACCGAGCGUUGUCCGGAAUCAUUGGGCGUAAAGAGCGUGUAGGCGGCCUUUUAAGUCCUGCGUGAAAUCCUGCGGCUCAACCGCAGACGGUCGUGGGAAACUGGAAGGCUAGAGUGCGGGAGAGGAGAGUGGAAUUCCCGGUGUAGCGGUGAAAUGCGCAGAUAUCGGGAAGAACACCCGUGGCGAAGGCGGCUCUCUGGAACGCAACUGACGCUGAGACGCGAAAGCGUGGGGAUCAAACAGG